rnacentral:rRNA from 1 species
GUCUAUGGCCAUGCUACCCUGAACAAGCCUUAUCCCAUCUGAUCUUGGAAGCUAAGCAGGGUCGGGCCUGGUUCGUACUUAGAUGAGAGACCACCUGGGAAGACCAGGUGCUAUAGGCA